UACGUAGGGACCAAGCGUUGUUCGGAUUUACUGGGCGUAAAGGGCGCGUAGGCGGCAUGACAAGUCACUUGUGAAAUCUCCGGGCUUAACUCGGAACGGCCAAGUGAAACUGUCAAGCUAGAGUGCAGAAGGGGCAAUCGGAAUUCUUGGUGUAGCGGUGAAAUGCGUAGAUAUCAAGAGGAACACCUGAGGUGAAGACGGGUUGCUGGGCUGACACUGACGCUGAGGCGCGAAAGCUAGGGGAGCGAACAGG
rnacentral:rRNA from 1 species